CGACAUUAGCCACCUACCAGCACAGAUGCUUUCUAUACUGGCGGGUGCUUAUGCCACCCGUCAGGAAUAUGAAUUUUUCCAUCCAAUAUAUUAUUCUCGUGAGUUAUUUAUAAUGUCUAUUUCCUCCUAGUUGUUAGCCGUCAAAUUGAAAUAUGUAUCAACAACCACAUAACAACAAACUUGAAUAAUAAAUAAUUCACAUUAUUCAAAAAUGCCUCGUACAUAAUAUAUAAUUCACAUUAUUAAAAAUUCAACAUUUGGAAUAGAGCUAUUCUUUGCCACGCUAAUAUUAAAACUACUACACCCAUCUACAAAGAUCUUUGGAGUCGUCCACCGUCAACACGCCAUCUUAAUCA
rnacentral:lncRNA from 1 species